CUUAACUAUUGUUCGCCUUGCGAACUGGGUCACUUGAGUACAGGAGAGGAAAGCGGAAUUCCUAGUGUAGCGGUGAAAUGCAUAGAUAUUAGGAGGAACACCGGUGGCGAAGGCGGCUUUCUGGACUGCAACUGACACUGAGGCACGAAAGCGUGGGUAGCAAACAGGAUUAGAUACCCUGGUAGUCCACGCCGUAAACGAUGAGCACUAGGUGUCGGCCACUAAAGGUCGGUGCCGCAGUUAACGCAUUAAGUGCUCCGCCUGGGGAGUACGCACGCAAGUGUAAAACUCAAAGGAAUUGACGGGGACCCGCACAAGCAGCGGAGCAUGUGGUUUAAUUCGAAGCAACGCGAAGAACCUUACCAGAGCUUGACAUCCCUCUGACAGAUCCUUAAUCGGAUUCUUCUUCGGACAGAGGAGACAGGUGGUGCAUGGUUGUCGUCAGCUCGUGUCGUGAGAUGUUGGGUUAAGUCCCGCAACGAGCGCAACCCUUAUCAUUAGUUGCCAUCAUUAGGUUGGGCACUCUAGUGAGACUGCCGGGGACAACUCGGAGGAAGGUGGGGAUGACGUCAAAUCAUCAUGCCCCUUAUGUUCUGGGCUACACACGUGCUACAAUGGUCGGUACAGAAAGCAGCGAAACCGUGAGGUGAAGCCAAUCUCCAAAACCGAUCUCAGUUCGGAUUGUAGGCUGCAACUCGCCUACAUGAAGUCGGAGUUGCUAGUAAUCGCAGAUCAGAAUGCUGCGGUGAAUGCGUUCCCGGGUCUUGUACACACCGCCCGUCACACCAUGGAAGUUGGGGGUGCCCGAAGUUGGACAAUAA
rnacentral:rRNA from 1 species